UUGGCCCUUGAGAAACACUCAGCAUACAAACGGAAUUUUGAGUUCCUGCCUGAGCAAGUCAGCUUGCAACCUUCAGUGUAAGGAAGAACCUGCCUGCCCGACAAUGCGCCAGCCGGGGAAUGUGAAGCGAGGGUUCUCCACUUAGGUGAUGAGACUAGGCGUCUCAUCGGCAGCCAGGUAGUGCAAGGGUCUGCCUGGGGGAUAGCCCAUGUACUAGUGAAGUAGCAGGGGUCUAUCAAACUGGCACUGGAAUAAAUUUGAUAAAAUUUGUCCCCGAAAUGCUUGGGGAUGAAUGAAAUUUUAGAAAUGACCAGUGAUAAAAUUCCAUUAAGGAAAAACUGAAAUAAAGAAAAAUAUAUAUCACUAGUUUAAGCUGAGUUGUUUCUCUAGUCAUGAAACAAUAUUGAAGGUGUUAGGAAGGGGAAGGUGGGAGGUAAAUUGAAUAAUAGCACUGUAAAACUCCAUCAACUAGUCAGGCUGCUAUGAACCAAGAAACUGAUUAUACAAAGACCAUGCAAUUGGCUUUACACACAGAUUGGGUACAUCUAACAUCCAGGGGGAGGAGACUGACCUACUGACCCUCAAAUAAUAUACUAUUUAUUGUGUAAUCAGUAUUAAAGAGAUCUGGUAUCAUAUUCUGCUUUCCUCUCCUACAGUGAUUGUUUGUGACAUGUAUCUGAUUAAGAAAAGAUUAGUGUGCCUCCUAGUGAGAUUCCAAUUGUAACUUCAAAGUGUCAAAUGUUAGACUAAUUAACCUCAAGAUAUAACAAGUGGUCUGUGUAUGUUAAUUAAUUGCAUCCAUGAUGUCAGCAUCUUUAUCAUAAAAUUAAUUACUUGUAAACUGAAAUGGCUUUUCUGUUUGUAUAAACAAUACUUAUAUUACAUAUAAGUAAAUAUUGGCAUUUAUAGGUGUUCUUUUGUGUCUUGUGAAAUGAAGAUGUGCAUGUUGAAUAAAUGUUAUCAGAAAUACUGUAAGGCAUUAUUGGGAUCCAUUUACUGUGGAUUUUAUUUAUUUUUGAGGCUACCAAUACGUGCAAUUUUCCUUGAUUAGAUAGACAACCCUUGUAAAAAAUUGUAUUUUAUUGGACAUUUGAAAUCUCAAUAUACCUAUUCCUAGAAAAUUCACAAAAAUUAGUAUCCUUAGAAAAAUAAUGAAUCCAUAGUAAAUUUGUCAAUGUAGAUGUUCCUAUGCUAUCUGAUCAAAUUAUUCUUCUCGAUCUUAUAAAGAGUUCAAGACUUCUGUAUUAUGCACUUACUUCAAGUAUCAUGCACUUAUGAAGCUCUUUAUUCUCAAAGUUGUUCAGUAACUUAUUUUUGGUUUGACUGAUUUGAUAAAAUUCUUCAAAAUAAAUUUGACAAGGGUUUGAACAUAUGCAUUUAUGGUAUACAGUCUUAUGGUGUAUAUAAAAUACAGUCAUGCAUAGUAUGUACCUCUUUUUGGUCCUUAAAACUUUAGAAAAAAAGUUACUUCUUAUUCCCAUCAGCUAAAUUGACUUACAGGCAAGCAAACCAGUUGUUAUCACUAAAAUAGUCUUAAAAUUGUUUUUCAUUUAAAUAUUUUACCACAAAGUAUUUGUUAAAACUUGUAUUUCAAUUUAUUGUACAAUAGUGGCCAUAUUCACUAAAAAUAUGAUUAUGAUCCAGAUUUAAAAAAAAAUUCUUUCAAGUUUUCUUCAUCAAUUAAUUGUUGGUUGCUUGACAUCCAGUCACUCCAGUCACUCCAGUGGCAAAUAUUUCAUGCAUGUACAGGACCUUUUUUUCCUUUCCAAAGCCAGUUUUCUAUUUCUUUACAUUAAAUAUGUAAUGUGGAUCAUUAAUGUUGAAACCGUAAAGAAAAAUUGUUAUGUAGUUCUUUUGGGAUAACAGCAUUUAUAACAUAUACUAGUAAACAGUAUUUUGUACAAUAUGAUUUUG
rnacentral:lncRNA from 1 species